UUGAAAAGAACUUUGAAGAGAGAGUUCAAGAGUACGUGAAACCGUUCAGGGGUAAACCUGAGAAACCCAAAAGAUCGAAUGGGGAGAUUCACCGUAAGCGGGGCAGGCUCUGCGCGKGUUCGCGAUGUUGCGGUUUCGGUCGCGACACGCGUCUCGCGCUCGACGUUCGGCCUCGCCGGCGUGCACUUCUCCCCUAGUAGGACGUCGCGACCCGUUGGGUGUCGGUCUACGGCACGGGUGGAGGUCCGCGGAUGUCAGCACCUCGCGGUGCUCGUCCCGAGCCACCCGAGCGCCUGAUCGGCUGCUCGACGGUACGCAAAGCACGGUAUAGGGCCGCAGUCGUUCGCGAGUGCGUCCAGCCCGUCGAAAGCGGGGUCAGUGCAUAACCCGAUGGUAACGGACUUCGCGCCGUCCUCGGGCCUGACUCGCUGUUGGUCGACGGUGUUCUCGGACUGGCCAAGAAAUGUAUAUCGGUCGGCGACGCUAUUGCUUUGGGUACUUUCAGGACCCGUCUUGAAACACGGACCAAGGAGUCUAACAUGUGCGCGAGUCAUUGGGACUUGAAAAGCCUAAAGGCGCAAUGAAAGUGAAGGUGGACCUCGCGUCAACCGAGGGAGGAUGGGUCGCGUCGAGGCGCGAUCUCGCACUCCCGGGGCGUCUCGCUCUCAUUGCGAGAUGAGGCGCACCCAGAGCGUACACGUUGGGACCCGAAAGAUGGUGAACUAUGCCUGGUCAGGAUGAAGUCAGGGGAAACCCUGAUGGAGGUCCGUAGCGAUUCUGACGUGCAAAUCGAUCGUCGGAACUGGGUAUAGGGGCGAAAGACUACUCGAACCAUCUAGUAGCUGGUUCCCUCCGAAGUUUCCCUCAGGAUAGCUGGCACUCGCUAGAAGCGAGUUUCAUCCGGUAA
rnacentral:rRNA from 1 species